GACGGCCACCGUUGGCCUCGUGUUCGCCUUGUAAGCGAGCGGUCGUCAGUUCAAUCCUGACAGGGGGCUCCA
rnacentral:tRNA from 1 species